AUCAACUAAGCAGGGCUCAUAGAGGCUCACAGAGACUGAAGCAGCAAUCACAGAUCCUGCAUGGGUCCGCACUAGGCACUCUGUACGUAUGUUAUGGCUGUUAGCUUGGUGUUCUUCUGGGACUUCUAACAGUUGGAGUUGGAGUGUUUCUGACUCUUGCCUGUUCAUGGGACCCUUUUCCUCCUGUGGGGUUUCUUUAUCCAGCCUUAAUAAGAAGCUUUGUGCCUAUUCUUACUGUGUCUUGCUGUCCUGUAUUCAGUUGAUAUCACUGGGAGGCCUGCUCACUUCUAAAGGGAAACAAAGGUUCNAGUGGAUCUGGAGGAGUGGGGAGGUGGGGGUGAAACUGGGAGGAAAGAAGUGAAGGCUGUAGUCAGUAUGUUUUGUAUGAGAGAAGAAUACAGGAAAAGAAAAAAAGGCAUUAGUGUGCAAGCUGUGUGAGCAGGACAGACAGCAAGGUCAGUAACUAUGAAGGAACCCUCAGACACAAGAGCGGGUGGGUGUGGGCACCGAGCAGAACAUUUGCAGAGGACUUCCUUUUGCUCAUGUCGCCUCAAAGACCUUGGAGUUUGUCUCUGCUCACCAGUUCAGUGUUGCAGCAUCUCCCAUGUGCAAUGGACACAGCAAGGGUCUACCUUGGUUUAAAGCCAUCUAAGACUCCGGGGAUUCAGUGUGCAUCACCUCCAUCUCUUCCCCGAGGUCAGUAACUUGAUUUUUCUUUAUAGCAUUGGAAUAUCUUCCAGAGUUAUGAUUUUUCUUACAGUUUUAAGUUAUUCCUUUGAAGGGGAGCAAAUGUCUGUCAGUGCUGAAGAGUGUAGACAGCUACAACUUUGGAUUAAUAAAAAGCUCAUCGGUUCCAUCUUUAGUCAGUUAGUCGGUGUGAAACUUGGGCAGCUACUCCUUUUGGCUUUAGUCACAGGCCCUGAAGAAAGGAUAAUUUACAUCUACAAGGAAAGGGAUGCUUCUAGCAGACAGACUCACUAUAAGGCAUCUUGCCUAGUCCAAACUUUUCUACAGAGCAUCAAUGCCAUGACUCCUCUCUAUGCCCAUUCUAGCACUGAGCACUGGAGUUGGCACCCUGUGUGUCAGAAAUAAGGAAGGCUGACAGGAGGCGUGGAUGAAGGGUGCCAUGACUUAGGGAUGGAUGAAGAACAAACACAGAGGCAGAAAAUCUGUCUACAGUGGUCAUGAUGCCUGUCGGUGCCCACAUUCACACAGGUUGGCUCUGAAGCUCAGCUGCACUGGGCUGACCCUACUUGUCUUGACCCUGGUUGGGAUAAGAUGAGUGUUUUAGGUAAGUGAGGCAUGAACUUGCGCUUCAGAAUUCUUCCUCUGUUUCCUUCAUAAAUAUCUGUGCCUCUACACAUGAUAUGACCUCCUUGAUUCCUGGGGAGGAUCAAUGACGUGAGUAUGUCCAGGACAGUAUUCCAUAACCAGUGAGAAAUUUCACAUAUCCUUCAUGCUUCCAAAUUACCCAGAGACCCAUUAGAGGCUCUUACACACGAAAGGCUCUCUAAGAGACCCAAGCGUGACAAAGAUGGCGCCAGCAGAUUCUGUCCUUUCCCUGUCCCUCUCCCUUGCUAAAGCCCCCAAUGUCCAUUCCUUUAUUCAGCUACUUCCUAAUGCCUGACUUAUUCCUGAGGCUGAUCACUGAGGUCCAGCUUUCAAAGCAUCAAGGUCCCAUCAUCAAAAUCCAUUAUUCGACUAUUCUGACUAACGUGCCAAUCAGGACUUCCCAACGAAUCCUAGCACAGACUUCUCCUUUUUUUCCUUAAAAGCUCACUCUUGUAAAAACAUCUGAUGCUGUCUUUGCCUGAUCCAGAGGCAACCCCACCCUGAUCCCUCCAGAGUAAUAAAUGUUCUUUGUGCUGAGAAUUUGGUGUCUGGUGUGUUCUGAGCCAAGUGCCGCCAAUUUACACACUAUACACAUGCACUCGGAACCUAGAAAAAUAAGUUAUAAUUGUGACAAAAAUAUAACAAAGAAAACUGAAAGGCUCAAGUGUUUGGUUUAAGUGGCUUCUAAGCUCCGAUGGCACCAGCUGUCUUACAUGGAGAGGGUGUGCUAAUACUCAUUCUGAAGAUGAGGAUUCAGGUCAGUGCCAGUAAGUUAAGGGCUUCUGUAAGGCCAUUGGAUAGUAUGUGACUAAAUAGAGGUGCCAACCCAUGUGUUCUGUGUUUUUCUUCUUUGUUUGUUUAUAUAUUCUGUCUCCAAACUCCUCCCUAAGCCCAGUUUGCUAAUAUUUUAUUCUCAGUCCAGAAGUUCAGAUUUGUUUAACUAACUUGAUAUCCUGGAGUGAGAAUUGGAACACACCAUUUCCACCAUUCAUUUUGCCAUUAAUCCUCUGUUUUCUCAUUUAUCAGUGCGAGUCUUAAUACAAAAACCAUCAAUAGAAUCAUGCCGAGUGUUUAUUCAAGAGACCCUGGGUGAAACAACAGGUAAUUCUUGUGGCUUGAGUUUUGCAAGAAUGAUACUGAGGUUUACUAUUUACCAGGAGUUACGUCAGCCAAGGCUUAUAACAGUCAUCUGUGAAGACGAUAUCACCAUAUCUUAUGUUAGAGGAAAUUGCCUCAUAGAAACUUGAGGGUGUCAUGAUUGGUAGUUAAUAAGAAUGGAAACAUCACUGAAACUGUGUAACCUUGAAACCUGAGACAUUAACCACUUGGCUAUACUGCCUACUGAUGCUAGCCUACUUGAUUAUUAAGUUAAGAAAAAGCUCUAUGUCAAACAGGUAAAUUUGUCUAAAAUUAAUUAAUAGAAAAAGUGUAUUCCUUUCUAUUUAUAUUUGAUAUGUCAUAACAGUAAUCUUGUUUUCUGCAAAGGUUAAUAAAAGCGUGUGUUAGUAAAAACUGCCGUGUGUCUGUAGUGCAGCAAGAAGAGGGUGUAAUACACCAUGUCUUCCUCUCUCUCCAGAUAGUCCAACUAAGUUAAAGUGCCCAGAAGACUGGCUUUCACACCGAGAUAAAUGCUUUCGUGUUUUUGAAGCAUGUGAGUUUGUAAGGACAAUGGUCAUGCCAUUUCGAGAAGACAGAAUUUUAGGGUAAUUUUACAUUCUUUUCACCUGCUUCCUCCAUGAUGUUCUCUGGGUAGAAGUUAACAUGGACAUCCCUCUUCCAGCUGAGCACACACACUUACUCUCAGCACUUUGAUCAUUGCUGAUUACAAAGCUAUGGACAUAGAAAACAGUAUGACAUCUUGACCUUUUACCAAAUGAACAACAAUAGGUUCCUCUUUUGGGCCCAUGAUGCCCAUGGCCCUGGGUUUAAUACAUUUAUAGCACCAAGUGUGAGUUCCCUCCUGUAGAGUAGGAGAGCUCAAAUCCAAUAGGAAACCAGUUGUUUACCCUCCAUAACCCUCAUACCGGUAUUGUAUGGGUGAUUAUCUUGUGUGGCUGAUUGAUGUUGUAGGGCAAGAGUAGUGAUGGCUUCUUCCUCAGCAGCCGACACAGUGCCUUUCAGCAUUAUGAAAGUUUACUAUCAGCUUAGUAGUUUCCAGGUCAAUUCCAGAUUGGUUAAUUUUAUUCUGAAAAUAUGUGGUAUUUUCAGCAAUAGGGCCUUGCCUAAUAGUAAUUGUGUAAAAUCAAGAAUAAUAGCCUAUGUUGUUUUGAGGACUUCUGGGGUAUCCCUUACAAGAAUUUUACAGUAUAUCCCAUGUUUGGAACUGAGGUAUUAGACAAUAAUCAUAUACA
rnacentral:sRNA from 1 species